AGUGGCGAACGGGUGAGUAAUAUAUCGGAACGUAUCCAAUAAUGGGGGAUAACUAAUCGAAAGGUUGGCUAAUACCGCAUACGCCCUGAGGGUGAAAGCUGGGGAUCUUCGGACCUAGCGUUGAUGGAGCGGCCGAUAUCUGAUUAGCUAGUUGGUGAGGUAAAGGCUCACCAAGGCAUCGAUCAGUAGCUGGUCUGAGAGGACGACCAGCCACACUGGAACUGAGACACGGUCCAGACUCCUACGGGAGGCAGCAGUGGGGAAUUUUGGACAAUGGGCGCAAGCCUGAUCCAGCCAUUCCGCGUGAGUGAAGAAGGCCUUCGGGUUGUAAAGCUCUUUCGCAAGGGAAGAAACGAUUUAGGUAAAUAAUCUAAGUUAAUGACGGUACCUUGAUAAGAAGCACCGGCUAACUACGUGCCAGCAGCCGCGGUAAUACGUAGGGUGCGAGCGUUAAUCGGAAUUACUGGGCGUAAAGCGUGCGCAGGCUGUUUUGUAAGUCAGAUGUGAAAUCCCUGGGCUCAACCUAGGAACUGCGUUUGAAACUACAAGACUAGAAUAUGUCAGAGGGGGGUAGAAUUCCACGUGUAGCAGUGAAAUGCGUAGAGAUGUGGAGGAAUAUCAAUGGCGAAGGCAGCCCCCUGGGAUAAUAUUGACGCUCAUGCACGAAAGCGUGGGGAGCAAACAGGAUUAGAUACCCUGG
rnacentral:rRNA from 1 species